CAGAGGUCCCAAGCGUUGUUCGGAUUCACUGGGCGUAAAGGGUGCGCAGGUGGGUUUGCAAGUUCGAUGUGAAAGCCCCGGGCUUAACCCGGGAAUGGCAUUGGAUACUGCAGAUCUGGAGGAUUGAGGGGGGACUGGAAUUCUUGGUGUAGCAGUGAAAUGCGUAGAUAUCAAGAGGAACACCAGUGGCGAAGGCGAGUCCCUGGACAAUACCUGACACUGAGGCACGAAAGCUAGGGGAGCAAACAGGAUUAGAUACCCUGGUAGUCCUAGCUGUAAACGGUGCGCAUUUGCUGUAAACGGAAUCGACCCCGUUUGUGGCGAAGCUAACGCGAUAAAUGCGCCGCCUGGGAAGUACGGUCGCAAGAUUA
rnacentral:rRNA from 1 species